CUUAGACAAAGGAAAUGAUCUGUCUUUGCAUGACUUUUAAUGUGGUGACCACCAACUAAUUGAACACAAAGAACAACUGCUUUCAUAAAUGCAUUCAACUGCUAAGUAGAUCUGAAUUGUUCCUCCGUAGAGUGCACCAGUGUAUCUCAGGUCAAAGAGUUUAGGAUGAAUGAAAUUAUUCCCACUCUUCUACAGGGAAACAAAAAAGCAAUGGGAUAUUAUAAUUCUUGUUAAUAAACAUUAUUAAACCCAGGCCAUCUCUGAAUUUUAGAAUAAAAAUAAUUAAUCUACUGAAAGAAUGGUAAACCAGGAAAGAUUAAAAAUUAUAAUUAAAGAAUGGGAAUGACAUUUGGUAUCAGAGGCAUCUCAGCAGACUAUCUGAGCAACACACCAAACAAAGUGAAUUAUAUCUACCAUAAUAACAGUGUUUACUCUAAUACAAUGGCAUACUGGAGAUCUAAUUGCAACCUGUCAAGGAUUUUUUUAAAAAGCAUGGUUAUAAUGUAAAAAUAAGGAAGAAUAGAUAUGAUCUGUAUUUAUAAAAGAACAUAGCAAUGCUACUAUAUAGUUCAAUUUUCAGAUAUCAGGAUUUAAUAUAAUAAGAAAAGACAGAGAAAAUGAAAAUUGGGGAGACUUUUGAAUAGGUGCUUUAAGAAGGGAUUUGCAACCAAAUGGAAACAGGCUGAUUUUGAUUACAUUUUAAUAUGAGAUAAAGUAAAGAUGGAGUGAAUCCAAAGUAAAACACAAUUAUAAGUUUCUUCAUAAUCCCUGGAAAAAUAUUAAAGAUUUGAUUCCGGAAUUGUAUUAGUAGGUCCAUACAACUUUUACUAUUUGAAACUACGCUCUGUACAUGUAAGCGUCAUCAGAAAACAGAUAAAAAUAUAUUCAUAAGUCCAAAUAAUCAUGAAGGCAUUUAAUAAGAUACCUGGGAUUUAAAGUUUUGCCUUCCUCUUUCUGAAACAGAAAACAAAUCAUAAAUAAAACUUAUAAUAGAAAGUAAUCAUGUAAACACAAGUGGGAGUGAGGAGACAGAAUGAUUAGAAUUCAUUUCUAAACAGAAAAAAAUAUUGAGUGAAAAGUACUUUCUGUAGUAAAAAAUCAUCACCACAUCAUGCGUUGCACAUGAUUUCUUCCUACAGUGCCUUUUACAUAUGAGAAACUUGAUGAGCUGGGCACCAUGGAACAUGCCUGUAAUCCCAGCAGCUCAGGAGGCUGAGGCAGGAGGAUCACAAGUUCAAGCAAUUUAGCAAGGUCCUAAACAACCUAGCAAGGCCCUGUCUCUAAAUAAAACAUAAAAAGGGCUGGGGAUGUGGCUCAGUUGUUAAUUACCUCUGAGUUCAAGCACUGGUCCCCAAAACCAACCAACCAGCCAAACAAACAAACAAACAAACAAACAAACAAACAAACAAACAAAAAACCCCUUGAUGAGUGACAAGCAUCUUGUGCUAGCUGCUAGGGGAAAUGUUUCUUUAUGGGUUAUAUGUUGCAGAGAGAGAGAAAAAGAGGGAGAGACUGAGAGAUCAAAAGUGAGAGAGAGAAGGAGAAAAAGAUCAAACUAGUACAUUAUAAGAUAUUUUUCUCCCCCAAAGUAGAUCCGAUAUUUUUCCAAUGAAAUUAAAAACUAAAAAACAGAAGACAUGUAGGUAGGAAAAUAUAAGUAAAAAUUUUAUUCCUAGAGGAAUGUCAUCUUUGAAGAAAUUGCAUGAGUCUUAUCGAUCUCAGAGUACUUUUCUGGAAUAUGUAAUUAGAUAAUAUUGUUAUUGAUUUCUAUUUCAUUAGGGAUAAAGACAUGAUACUUUAUUAUGUUAUUUUCCUGAAUUUAUUAUUAAAGAUGUUGACAUUUGAGGUGAUUAGAGUACUAGAAGAUAUAGAUAUUGCUAUGAAUUGAUUAUGUUUUAGAAGAAUGUUUAUUUUAUUUCUGAUUAUAAUGGUAUUUUGUAAGGAAUUUGUAUAAUGUAAGCAAUUUGAAAAAUAAGAAUCGUACAAAGAAAAAAUUGACAAACCUACAAUCCUGCCAUACAGGUUAUAGACAUUAUUGCUUUUGUACAUUUUCUUCCAGUAAUUUUACUGCUCUCUUUUGAAAAUAUACACAUUUUAUACAUGAAACUUUGUGUCCUACCCCCAUCAACAUUUUCCUAUAUGAUUGAAUUUCUCAAUAAACCCCAUUUUAAUUGCUCUGUAAUAUUCCUGUACAUCCAUGGCUGUAUUUUUAGUGUUCUGUUUAUUUACAUAUUUAUUUUUUUGUGACUUUCAAUGACAUCAGGAUGAACAUGACAUAAUGGUAGACACCAGCUAACUGCCAAUCUCAUUCAAUUUUCCUUCUGGGCAUAGAGAUGAGCAAAUUUCUCAACCUCCCUCACAGCUCUCUGUGAACACAACAAUGAAUUCUUUUGAAAGGAAUGUGGGCAGAGGUGAUGAGAUGGGUGGAGUACAGUGCUUCAAGGGCUGGGCCAGAGACACCUCUGACCUGAUAAGUCUCUCUUGCCUUCUCUGCUGCUGGCCUGAAGACGCAGGGUAAGCUUAGAAGACAUUUGUAAAAGAUAGCAGAGCACCUUCCACACAAUUUCAAAAGGAAUCCUGGAGCAGAAUAUCCCUAAUUCCACUGCCUCUAAAUGUUUAGAUGAACUCUACUAUGUUGAGCUACCAAGGUUGGGGGCUCAUUCCUCUAGUACUAGCAUAACAGGAACAGUGACAUCUGAAAGGUGGUACUUCUACUCUCUAAUCAAAACCUAAGCUAUGUGGAAACCACACUGUGUAGUAAGGAAACUAAUAUCAGAGGAUGGGAAGAUAGAAACCCAUGUAACACAGCAGUAAAAUAUACCUAAUACUGUCACUAGAGAUUGCCUGGAGGCAGAUCAGGCACUUAGAGAGCCUGUGGCUUCAGGGAAAGAAUGGAAAACAGAAUUUUGUGAUCCAUAUUGAUUGUUACUGGAUUCUAUGAGGAGCGUAUGAGAAGGAAAAAAAUAAGUCUAGACAUAGAUGGCUGGCUUUCAAGUAGAAAUUAAAAGAAAUAUAUACAGGAAGAAAUUUAUGGCAUCAACGACUUUGAAAGUUUUUUUAAAAAGGAAAUGAAAUGAUGGAAAAUGUCUUUCAGUGAAUGCCCUCUGCUAAAAUCAAAUCAAGAGCAUAACCUUUUCUCAAACUGAAUGACUUCAAGGAUGCUAGCACUAAACUGUGUGUACGUGGAUGAUGCGUAAGGGUGAGGAGGGAAGGGAAAAAAAUCAGGACUGAUAAUUACGUUUAAGGAGGAAACUGGUUGGGGUUCCUGGCUUGUGGAACUGAGUAGAAGCUACUGGAUUAGAAGCCUACUAGGCAAAAGCAUAUUUCCCAAAAUAUCAUGAGCCUGGACUGAAAGCCUUUGACUGUUCAAGUCUCAGAAUCAUCCCUGAGCCCCCAAACUUGACGCCAAAUGGUCAGAGAAGCUCUUACCAAAAGCCAGAAUAAGGGUUAAGGAAUGGCACUUACUUCCUUAAACAUUGUCUUUUUUUUUCUGUUUCCACAUUUUUUAUUGUUGCAUUACAGUUAUACACAAUGAUGGGAUUUUGUUGUGAUAUAUUUACAUGUACACACAGUGUAAUGAUAUAAUUUGGCCCAUAUCACUUCCCAGCACUUCUUCCCUCACCUCUUCCCACCCCUUAAAGCCUUUUCUGUACUCUACUAAUCUCCUUUGGAUUUUCAUGAGAUCCCUGCCCUGACCCUCACCUUUCUUUUCCUUUUUCUUCUCUAACUUCCCCAUAUAAGAGAAAACAUACAACCUUCUGAGUUUGGCUUAUUUUGCUUAAUAUAAUGGUCUCUAGUUUCAUACAUUGUUUUUGCAAAUGACAUAAUUUCAUUUUCCUUUUUGACUGAAUAUACUCCCUUGUGUAUAUAGACCACAUUUUCUUUAUCCAUUCAUCUAUUAAUGGACAUCUAGGCUGGUUAUGUAGUUUGGCUAUUGUUAAUUGUGCUGCAAUAAACAUGGGUAUAUAUGUAUCACUAUAGUAUGCUGACUUUAAUUCUUUAAAAAAAAAAAUACCAAAGAGUGGUAUAGCUGGGUCUUAUUGUGGUUCCAUCCUAAGCAGUGUCUUUAGAAUUCUUUUCCAGGGUGAGUGCUACAGAUGAGUGUUCACAAUCUUUCCUAUUAUGAAUGGGAAGAUUUUUUUUCCCCUUUUUGGUAUUUAUUAAGAAUACUGUUU
rnacentral:lncRNA from 1 species